rnacentral:rRNA from 1 species
GAUGAACGCUAGCGGCAGGCCUAAUACAUGCAAGUCGAACGGGAUCCAGAUCAAAGCUUGCUUUGGUUUGGUGAGAGUGGCGUACGGGUGCGUAACGCGUGAGCAACCUACCCUUGUCAGGGGGAUAGCCCGGCGAAAGUCGGAUUAAUACCGCAUGACAUCAUUGAGAGGCAUCUUUCGAUGAUCAAAGAUUUAUCGGACAAGGAUGGGCUCGCGUGACAUUAGCUAGUUGGUAAGGUAACGGCUUACCAAGGCUACGAUGUCUAGGGGCUCUGAGAGGAGAAUCCCCCACACUGGUACUGAGACACGGACCAGACUCCUACGGGAGGCAGCAGUAAGGAAUAUUGGUCAAUGGACGGAAGUCUGAACCAGCCAUGCCGCGUGCAGGAAGACGGCCCUAUGGGUUGUAAACUGCUUUUAUACGGGAACAAACGUCGGUACGUGUACCGGUCUGAGUGUACCGUAAGAAUAAGGAUCGGCUAACUCCGU